AGUGAACGCUGGCGGUAGGCCUAACACACGCAAGUCGAACGGCAGCACAGGAGAGCUUGCUCUCUGGGUGGCGAGUGGCGGACGGGUGAGGAAUACAUCGGAAUCUACCUUUUCGUGGGGGAUAACGUAGGGAAACUUACGCUAAUACCGCAUACGACCUACGGGUGAAAGUGGGGGACCGCAAGGCCUCACGCGAUUAGAUAAGCCGAUGUCCGAUUAGCUAGUUGGCGGGGUAAUGGCCCACCAAGGCGACGAUCGGUAGCUGGUCUGAGAGGAUGAUCAGCCACACUGGAACUGAGACACGGUCCAGACUCCUACGGGAGGCAGCAGUGGGGAAUAUUGGACAACGGGCGCAAGCCUGAUCCAGCCAUACCGCGUGGGUGAAGAAGGCCUUCGGGUUGUAAAGCCCUUUUGUUGGGAAAGAAAUCCUAUCGGUUAAUAACCGGUGGGGAUGACGGUACCCAAAGAAUAAGCACCGGCUAACUUCGUGCCAGCCGCCGCAGUAACAC
rnacentral:rRNA from 1 species